CAUCUUCAGCCUUUGAGUCCUUAAGCUUUUUGGAGACAGUUUGUGGAGAAGGUUGAUUUCAUAACUUGGCUAUUGUGAACGCUGCAGCAAUGAACAUGGGAGUGCAGAUAUCUCUUUGACAUACUGAUUUCAAUUCUUGUGGAUACAUGCCUAGAAGUGGGAUUGCUGGAUCAAAUGGUCCUCACAACAUUGUGCAACAGGUGUGAAAGAUGAAGUCUCCAUUUACAGCUGCUGAAAUAGGCUGAGAGAGGUUCAUCUAGGGGUGAUUGAGGCUACAAAAUUUAUGCCACGUUUUCAACUGUCAAGGCUGCUUUCAGAAUCCAGAGGAGGCCUGCGUCCUUAAAAGUGGAGGAGGAAGGCAGAAGAAGAGAGUCAGAAGGAGAUGUGAAGAAUCAGAGAUGCAGCAUUGCUGGCUUUGAAGAUGGAGGAGAGCCAUGAGCCAAGGAGUGUGGGUGACCUCUAGAAGCUGGAAAAGGCAUGAAAACAGAUUUACCCCUGGAGCCUCCAGCAUGAAACCUAGUUCUGCUGACACCUUGAUUUUAGCCCAGUGACUUCUGUAUUGGACUUCUAAUCUACAGUACUGUAAGAUAACAAAUUUGUGCCACGUUUGUGGUAAUCUGUUAUGGCAGCAUUAAAAAACGAACACAAAUGUUAAACAAUACAAGGCAACGGAUGCCAGAAGCAUCAUAUGGCAGUGCCUAUUGUUCCAAAAGAGGAACGUGAACAAUGAGGCUGAGAAAAGGAUGAAAUCAUGAAACUUGUUCCUUCCUCUUGAGCACAGAGUGGUUUGCUGUGGGUGUUUAGAGUAGUGAGUUAAUGACCACUAAAUAUAGUGGCCGGAAACUGUCCCAAUGAGCUGAGGGUUUGUACGAAUUUUAAUUUACUUGAAAAUUCCGUCAGGUUUCUGAAAAUUUUAGUGUGUAUAAAAAUUAUCUGGGAAAAUAAAA
rnacentral:lncRNA from 1 species